rfam:Schistosoma mansoni strain Puerto Rico chromosome 4, complete genome
AUCCAGCUGACGAGUUCCAAAUAGGAAGAAAAGCGCAUCUUGCAU